CCUGAAACUAACACAACAUUGUUAAUCAACUAUACUCCAAUAUAAAAUUAAAAUUUAAAAAAAAAACUAGUUAGCUCUACCAAGCCAUACUGUGGGACCAAAGGCAAAGAGCUGACCAGAAAAGGAAACUAGGUUGCAGGGGUUAUACUUUUUCAGAUCAGCUAAGAGCACUGUGCACAAUGUUUAAGGUGUUCCUAAGUGUGGGAAAUAUUAGGAAGGAGUGUGGGCAAUCUGAAAACCCAGGCACCCUUGAGCUAUAGUGAGGACCAGUCUAAACAUAAAAUGCUCGUGCACACCAGAAUGAACCAAAGGGCACUUGUGCUACUUACAACAAGCCACACAAGAAGGUACUCUCUGAACCCCCGUGUCCUGUGAUUGCUUUGCUAAACACAAUGUGAUCUGUGGACCAGCAGUCUCAGCCCCACCUACCACAGAAGAACGUCUUAGAAAUACAGCAUCUCCAGCCCCACUCCAGGCCUCCUGCGGCCCUGUGCACACCAGCACUGCCGCCCCUGAAAGCUCUGGACAGAGGGCCUCCUCCCAGUGGGGGUUCCACCCAUUGCUCCUAACAGGACUUGUCUAGGGUCAAGGAGAUACUGAAUUAGAAACCUGACUUGGGACCCCAAUUCCAAAGGGAGUGAAGGAGGUCAAAGAAAAGAAAGGGAAAGGAAGGCACCUGGGCCAGCACUUUCCUGUUUGAGGCUAGGAUGGGUAUGGCAGUCAGGCCAGGUGCCCACCUGGUGCCCACCUGGCCAGCCAGUUUCAUCAGGAGGAAGCCAGAGGGGUGCUAAGGCAGGCUGCUCAGCCCAGGGGCGCAGGCUGCAGGAUGGAUGCAGCUGUGGACUGUGAGACAGGCCCCCAGGUGGGAAGCUCAAUGGAAGAGGGAACUAGGCUUGAGUGCGGCUUGAGCUUCUGCAGAGGGGCAGAGAGAGGGAGGGAGGGAGGGAGGGAGAGGGAGAGAGAGUCCCAGAUGUCAGACAGAGACUGACAGCAGGGGCAGAGGAUCAGACAUUGGACUGCCCGGCAGUUCCCCUGCCAGAGAGGGAGGACACGGCCAAGGGCUGACCCAUGUGCCAAAUGCUGCAGGUGGGCCCAGCAAGAUGAGAGCUGAAAACUGACUGCUGAGUUCAGCUGUGGGGACCUCGGUGCUGAUGAUUGUGCCCAGGGUUGUCAGAUGGGGGAGCACUGGAUGAGAAGCAAUGACCCAUGAUGGAUUGGGAAUGUUUUUUAAAACCAGUCUUUCACCACCAAUAGUUUGAGAAGCACCACUGAGGACGGCAGAGGACCUUCAAAGUUUUAUGACAAAUGACAUGCGACAAGAUUCUACUUUUCCUAGAUGUAACGCUUGGGGUAGAUUGAAGUGGAGAGAAAAUGGAGAAAGAGACACCAAGUGGGAGGCUCCCAGGUCCGUCUGGGUGGGAGCCAAUAAAGGCCAGUGGGAGCAGAGAUCAAUAUUCUAUUAUAACCUAAAUGGGAAAAGAAUUUGAAAAAGAAUAGAUACAUGUAUAUGUAUAACUGAAUCACUUUGCUGUACAC